UGGAUAAAGGGUCAGUAUCUUUAAAAUAGUGUAUAUUAACUCUUACAAACUAAUAAGAAAAAAUUAAUCCUCCAAGAGAGGAAUAGGCAAAGAGUAUGACAAGGCAAUUCACAAAAGAAGAACUAUAAAUGACCUAUAAAGUUGUGAAAUAAUGUUAGUACUCCCAAAGAUGAGGGAAUGCAAACUGAAUUUACAAAUCUCGUUUUCAGAAUCACAGAGCUUGGAUUGCAAUCAUUAUCAAGUUAAAGUAUAUGACUCAGGGAAUGUUAAUUAACCCCCUCAAUUUCUAAUGUUACAUUCAACAGUACUUUAAAC
rnacentral:lncRNA from 10 species